rnacentral:tmRNA from 1 species
AAAAUAGUCGCAAACGACGAAAACUACGCUUUAGCAGCUUAAUAACCUGCUAAGAGCCCUCUCUCCCUAGCUUCCGCUCUUAAGACGGGGAUCAAAGAGAGGUCAAACCCAAAAGAGAUCGCGUGGAGGCCCUGCCUGGGGUUGAAGCGUUAAAACUAAUCAGGCUAGUCUGGUAGUGGCGUGUCUGUCCGCAGGUGCCAGGCGAAUGUAAAGACUGACUAAGCAUGUAGUGCCGAGGAUGUAGGAAUUUCGGACGCGGGUUCAACUCCCGCCAGCUCCACCA